UCUCUGCUAGAGCAGAGCAGUCCCCCGUGAGAAUAUAACACAGGGUAGGGGUUGCGCUCGUUUGCCGACUGAACGGAACACCUCACGGCACGAGCUGACGACGACCGUGCAUCACCUGUCAUCGGGCUCCCGAAGGCACCCCCGCAUUUCUGCAGGGUUCCCGAGAUGUCAAGUCCUGGUAAGGUUCAUCGUUUAGUGUCGAAUUAAACCACAUGCUCCACCACUUGUGCGAGCCCCCGUCAAUUCCUUUGAGUUUUAGCCUUGCGGCCGUACUUCCCAGGCGGUUCACUUACCGCGUUAGCUGCGCUACAGAAAGGGUCGAUACUCCCCAUAGCUAGUGAACAUCGUUUACAGCGUGGACUAC
rnacentral:misc_RNA from 1 species